rnacentral:rRNA from 1 species
GACGAACGCUGGCGGCGUGCUUAACACAUGCAAGUCGAACGGAAAGGCCCUGCUUUUGUUGUGUGCUCGAGUGUCGAACGGGUGAGUAACACGUGAGUAACCUGCCCUUUACUUUGGGAUAACUUCAGGAAACUGGGGCUAAUACCGGAUAUGAGCUCCUGCUGCAUGGUGGGGGUUGGAAAGUUUCGGCGGUUGGGGAUGGACUGGCGUCUUAUCAGCUUGUUGGUGGGGUAGUGGCUUACCAAGGCUUUGACGGGUAGCCGGCCUGAGAGGGUGACCGGCCACAUUGGGACUGAGAUAAGGCCCAGACUCCUACGGGAGGCAGCAGUGGGGAAUAGUGCACAAUGGGCGGAAGCAUGAUGCAGCAACGCCGCGUGCGGGAUGACGGCAUUCGGGUUGUAAACCGCUUUCGCCUGGGAAGAAGCGUGAGUGACGGUAAUGGGUAAAGAAGCACCGGCUAACUACGUG